AGCGAACGCUGGCGGCAGGCCUAACACAUGCAAGUCGAACGAACCUUUCGGGGUUAGUGGCGGACGGGUGAGUAACACGUGGGAACGUGCCUUUAGGUUCGGAAUAACUCAGGGAAACUGGUGCUAAUACCGAAUGUGCCCUUCGGGGGAAAGAUUAAUCGCCUUUAGAGCGGCCCGCGUCUGAUUAGCUAGUUGGUUGAGGUAAUGGCUCACCAAGGCGACGAUCAGUAGCUGGUCUGAGAGGAUGAUCAGCCACAUUGGGACUGAGACACGGCCCAAACUCCUACGGGAGGCAGCAGUGGGGAAUCGUGCGCAAUGGGCGAAAGCCUGACGCAGCCAUGCCGCGUGAAUGAUGAAGGUCUUAGGAUUGUAAAAUUCUUUCACCGGGGACGAUAAUGACGGUACCCGGAGAAGAAGCCCCGGCUAACUUCGUG
rnacentral:rRNA from 1 species